CUACGGGAUGCAGCAGUGAGGAAUUUUGCGCAAUGGGGGAAACCCUGACGCAGCAACGCCGCGUGAGUGAAGAAGGCCUUUGGGUCGUAAAGCUCUGUCAACAGGGAAGAAAUUAAUGACAUUUAAUAGAUGUUGUUAUUGACGGUACCUGUGGAGGAAGCGCCGGCUAACUCCGUGCCAGCAGCCGCGGUAACACGGGGGGCGCAAGCGUUAUUCGGAAUUAUUGGGCGUAAAGGGCGCGCAGGCGGUCUUGUCCGUCAGGUGUGAAAGCUCGGGGCUCAACCCCGGAAGUGCACUUGAAACAGCAAGACUUGAAUACGGGAGAGGAGAGCGGAAUUCCUGGUGUAGAGGUGAAAUUCGUAGAUAUCAGGAGGAACACCGAUGGCGAAGGCAGCUUUCUGGACCGAUAUUGACGCUGAGGCGCGAAGGCGUGGGGAGCGAACGGGAUUAGAUACCCCGGUAGUC
rnacentral:rRNA from 1 species